AAUAAAUUUUGAGAAACGUGUGCAAUUUAGCCGAUGAGGGUGAUGAGGAUUAGCGAAGAUCAAUCGAUAUAAUGAUUUUUUCGAAUCAAUAUUAUUUUCUGAUGGAAAUGGUUUGCGGCGUUUGGAGUGGAGUGGAGGAAAACGAGUUGGCAGUCACUAUUUUUUUGAUCGACACGGAAGGAACUGUCAGAUGUUUUCAGCAAGAGCUUUUAAAAUUAUUGGACGUGUUAGGAACCACACGUUAAAAGGGCCAACUUUUAUAUGCCAUCGUCAAAGAAGGUUGCCGUCUGAUUAUAGACACCACUGCAACAUGGUCGUUUUGGUCAUCUUUGUGGCGCUGCUCAGUCAGAACCGUCUUCAAUUGCAGCAAAAAUGAUAGUCACUUGGUGCUAGAUGGGGACUGUAUGGAGGGUGGUCCAGUUGUUCCCAGCUGAAUGAAGGUCUCUCACUUCGUUUCUUAUCUUGAAUAUUUGUGCAGCCAUCACUUGAAGCUCCAACCCAUGAAACGAAUAACAGCACGCAUUUCACAGGUGGUGGGAAUCACUUUCGGCGGCGGCAUUUCAAACAUGACUCGCAUAUUAUUAAAGAUACAUUUGUUGAUGCCAUCAGCAUUGAUUAUACUGAAGACUAAUACAAAUGACAUAUUUUUUCUGA